CCAAGGUUGUUAUGCCAGGAGUUAAUUCUUCCAAGAUCUGUCCUAGUGGCAGAGGGCUUUACCCUAUCAGGAGGCAUCCCUGUCCACAGUGUUAGAGAGGAAGCUGGGCCUGGAGUCUGUGCAUUUAAACUCAAAAUGUAAAAAGUAUACAAUA
rnacentral:snoRNA from 1 species